rnacentral:hammerhead_ribozyme from 1 species
GUACUGCUGAAGAGUCCCAAACAGGACGGGAAACAGCUGUCCAGUGC